rnacentral:rRNA from 1 species
UACGUAGGCAGCAAGCGUUGUUCGGAGUUACUGGGCGUAAAGGGUGCGUAGGCGGCUUUUUAAGUUUGGUGUGAAAUCUCCCGGCUCAACUGGGAGGGUGCGCCGAAUACUGAGAGGCUAGAGUGUGGGAGAGGAAAGUGGAAUUCCUGGUGUAGCGGUGAAAUUCGUAGAUAUUCGGAAGAACACCAGUGGCGAAGGCGACUUACUGGACACAUAUUGACGCUGAGGUGCGAAAGCGUGGGGAGCAAACAGG